AUGGGGACUAGCCCGGGUGGCUCGGCGUCACUUGUUACCCGAAACCGUCGGUACGCGGGGGGCGAAGUCUGAAGAAGGCUGCAACGAUCUCCCGGAUCCUGUGUGUCCUGACGUUGAAACCUCGUCCCAUGAGGUCGAUGGCCAGGGAUCAAAAUUCCGGAGGGAGUGGCGACCUGUCGCUGCGGGAACCGGUUCAGGCCCGGAAGGGAGCAGACUUACCGCAGACAUCCGGCGCCCAUGGGGUAACGGGGCGGAGGAUGGGUGCUUUGGUGAAAGGAGCAACGUACAGUCGACCGAUGACACGUCCCCGU
rnacentral:SRP_RNA from 1 species